rnacentral:rRNA from 1 species
UACGGGGGAUGCAAGCGUUAUCCGGAUUUAUUGGGCGUAAAGCGCCUGUAGGUGGUUUAAUAAGUCUGUUGUUAAAGACUAGGGCUUAACCCUGGGAAAGCAAUGGAAACUAAUAAACUUGAGUAUGGCAGGGGUAGAGGGAAUUUCUAGUGUAGCGGUGAAAUGCGUAGAUAUUAGAAAGAACACCGGUGGCGAAAGCGCUCUACUGGACCAUUACUGACACUCAGAGGCGAAAGCUAGGGGAGCGAAAGGGAUUAGAUACCCCUGUAGUCCUAGCCGUAAACGAUGGAUACUAGAUGUUGUGUUUUUAUACAGUAUCGCAGCUAACGCGUUAAGUAUCCCGCCUGGGGAGUACGCUCGCAAGGGUG